rfam:Hebeloma cylindrosporum h7 unplaced genomic scaffold scaffold_21, whole genome shotgun sequence.
UGCCCCAUGGCUUAGUUGGUUACGGCGUCCGACUGUUAUCCACCUUGCGACAUCGGAAGAUCGAGAGUUCGAGUCUCUCUGGGGCAG